AAAGAUUUAAGUUAAAAAAACUAUUAACCUUCAAAGUUAAAAAUACAUAAAUGUAAGCUUUA
rnacentral:tRNA from 1 species